CGUUAAAAGGUAAGUUCGGACGGGGGCCCGCAACAAGCGGUGGAGCAUGUUGGUUUAAUUCGAAGCAACGCGAAGUAACCUUACCAGGUCUUGACAUCCCGAUGCUUAUUUCUAGAGAUAGAAAGUUACUUCGGUACAUCGGUGACAGGUGGUGCAUGGUUGUCGUCAGCUCGUGUCGUGAGAUGUUGGGUUAAGUCCCGCAACGAGCGCAACCCCUAUUGUUAGUUGCCAUCAUUCAGUUGGGCACUCUAGCGAGACUGCCGGUAAUAAACCGGAGGAAGUGGGGAUGACGUCAAAUCAUCAUGCCCCUUAUGACCUGGGCUACACACGUGCUACAAUGGUUGGUACAACGAGUUGCGAGUCGGUGACGGCGAGCUAAUCUCUUAAAGCCAAUCUCAGUUCGGAUUGUAGGCUGCAACUCGCCUACAUGAAGUCGGAAUCGCUAGUAAUCGCGGAUCAGCACGCCGCGGUGAAUACGUUCCCGGGCCUU
rnacentral:rRNA from 1 species